CCUGCCUCAGCUUCCGGAGCAGCUGGGACUGCUGGCGCCCGCCACUACGCUCGGCUAAUUUUUUUGUGUUUUUAGUAGAGACGGGCUUUCACCGUGUUGGCCUAGCGGUUCUCCAACUCCUGACCUCAUGAUCCCCCCGCCUCAGCCUCCCAAAGUGCUGGGAUUACAAGCGUGAGCCACCGCGACCCGCCAACACUCUUGACAACAGUGCUGUGCUAAGAACUUGGGGGACUUCAAAAAGUUCACCAGUUCCUGUGUCCAUGGGUGAAAAGAUUUUCUACAUCUUUCCUUGACUAGAAACAGAAGUCCUGAAACAAGGUACACCUUCUUGAGGCUUACUUGGUGAGUCUAAUUUGUCUUCUGGCACCACUGUGAAUUUGAAGGCUUACGUCUUCUUCCCUGAUCAUAUGUUUUCUACAUGUCAGGAAUAUAACGUCAGGAGGCCAGAGGCUUUGUCCUGCCUAAUGUGUUAUUUCCACACUGAAUAAAAGCACCUGAGUCCUGGUCUCAGAGUGAGAACAAUGUCUUCUAUGAUGAGUGGCAAACACAACAAGGCAUUUUAAAAAGGUUGUACAUCUAGCAAUACCUAACAAAAUAGGAAAUCAACUUGGAAAGCCAAUGGCUGUGUUUUGAGUUUAUGGAGAGCCAUAUGUGGCAAGGAACUGAGGGUGGCAUCCAGGCAACAGACUUCAAGAAACUGAGGCUGUCAGUCCAACAACCCACAAGAACUGAAUCUGACCAACAAUCACAGGAACAAACUUAGAAGUAUACUCUUUCCCAGACAAACCUUCAGAUGAGACCACAGCCCCAGCCAUAAGCUUGAAAACAAUCUCAUGAGGGACCUUGAGCCACAGGCAUGUAGUAAAGCUAUGCCAGGAAUCCUGCCUGCCCCACAGAAAAUGUAAAAAAAAUAAAUUUUUAUUGUUUUAAGCCACGAAGUUUUGAAGUAAUUUGAUAUAAAAC
rnacentral:lncRNA from 1 species